rnacentral:tRNA from 1 species
AAAGGUAUGGCUCAGUGGUAGAGCACAUGCUUAGCAUGCACAAGGUCCUGGGUUCAAUCCCCAGUGCUUUCA